UGAUGCAGCGACGCCGCGUGAGGGAUGACGGCCUUCGGGGUUGUAAACCUCUUUCAGCACGGAAGAAGCGAAAGUGACGGUACGUGCAGAAGAAGCGCCGGCUAACUACGUGCCAGCAGCCGCGGUAAUACGUAGGGCGCAAGCGUUGUCCGGAAUUAUUGGGCGUAAAGAGCUCGUAGGCGGUUUGUCGCGUCUGCUGUGAAAGCCCGGGGCUUAACCCCGUGGUGUGCAGUGGGUACGGGCAGACUAGAGUGCAGUAGGGGAGACUGGAAUUCCUGGUGUAGCGGUGAAAUGCGCAGAUAUCAGGAGGAACACCGAUGGCGAAGGCAGGUCUCUGGGCUGUUACUGACGCUGAGGAGCGAAAGCAUGGGGAGCGAACAGGAUUAGAUACCCUGGUAGUCCAUGCCGUAAACGUUGGGCACUAGGUGUGGGGGACAUUCCACGUUUUCCGCGCCGUAGCUAACGCAUUAAGUGCCCCGCCUGGGGAGUACGGCCGCAAGGCUAAAACUCAAAGGAAUUGACGGGGGCCCGCACAAGCGGCGGAGCAUGCGGAUUAAUUCGAUGCAACGCGAAGAACCUUACCAAGGCUUGACAUACACCAGACCGGUCCAGAGAUGGUCCUUCCCCUUUGGGGUUGGUGUACAGGUGGUGCAUGGUUGUCGUCAGCUCGUGUCGUGAGAUGUUGGGUUAAGUCCCGCAACGAGCGCAACCCUCGUUCUAUGUUGCCAGCACGUGAUGGUGGGGACUCAUAGGAGACUGCCGGGGUCAACUCGGAGGAAGGUGGGGAUGACGUCAAAUCAUCAUGCCCCUUAUGUCUUGGGCUUCACGCAUGCUACAAUGGCCGGUACAAUGGGUUGCGAUACCGUGAGGUGGAGCUAAUCCCAAAAAGCUGGUCUCAGUUCGGAUCGUGGUCUGCAACUCGACCACGUGAAGUCGGAGUCGCUAGUAAUCGCAGAUCAGCAACGCUGCGGUGAAUACGUUCCCGGGCCUUGUACACACCGCCCGUCAAGUCACGAAAGUUGGUAACACCCGAAGCCGGUGGCCUAACCCUUGUGGGGGGAGCCGUCGAAGGUGGGACUGGCGAUUGGGACUAAGUCGUAACAAGGUAGCCGUACCGGAA
rnacentral:rRNA from 1 species